rnacentral:piRNA from 1 species
UGGUUUGAGCGUCAGGUGUCUUCUUCA